UACGAAGGGGGCUAGCGUUGCUCGGAAUCACUGGGCGUAAAGCGCACGUAGACGGCUUCUUAAGUCAGGGGUGAAAUCCUGGAGCUCAACUCCAGAACUGCCUUUGAUACUGAGAGCUUGAGUCCGGGAGAGGUGAGUGGAACUGCGAGUGUAGAGGUGAAAUUCGUAGAUAUUCGCAAGAACACCAGUGGCGAAGGCGGCUCACUGGCCCGGUACUGACGCUGAGGUGCGAAAGCGUGGGGAGCAAACAGG
rnacentral:rRNA from 1 species